rnacentral:rRNA from 1 species
AACGAACGCUGGCGGCAUGCCUAACACAUGCAAGUCGAACGAACCCUUCGGGGUUAGUGGCGCACGGGUGCGUAACGCGUGGGAAUCUGCCCUUUGGUUCGGAAUAACAGUUAGAAAUGACUGCUAAUACCGGAUGAUGACUUCGGUCCAAAGAUUUAUCGCCAGAGGAUGAGCCCGCGUAGGAUUAGGUAGUUGGUGGGGUAAAGGCCUACCAAGCCGACGAUCCUUAGCUGGUCUGAGAGGAUGAUCAGCCACACUGGGACUGAGACACGGCCCAGACUCCUACGGGAGGCAGCAGUGGGGAAUAUUGGACAAUGGGCGCAAGCCUGAUCCAGCAAUGCCGCGUGAGUGAUGAAGGCCUUCGGGUCGUAAAGCUCUUUUACCCGGGAUGAUAAUGACAGUACCGGGAGAAUAAGCUCCGGCUAACUCCGUGCCAGCCGCCGCAGUAAGAC